CAAUAGCGUAUAUUAAAGUUGUUGCAGUUAAAAGCUCGUAGUUGGAUUUCUGAGAGGAUGCCAAUGUCCUUCUGUGUAAGUGUGCAGCGGCGUCUUUUCAUCCUUCUGUUAACACCUCUUGGCAUUCGUUUGCUGGUGGUGGGCUCAGAUAUUUUACCUUGAGAAAAUUAGAGUGUUUCAGGCAGGCUAGGCCGGAAUACAUUAGCAUGGAAUAAUGGAAUAGGACUACGGUCUCUUUGUUGGUUUGAGGGACUGCAGUAAUGAUUAAUAGGGAUAGUUGGGGGCAUUAGUAUUUAAUUGUCAGAGGUGGAAUUCUCGGAUUUGUUAAAGACUAACUUAUGCGAAAGCAUUUGCCAAGGAUGUUUUCAUUAA
rnacentral:rRNA from 1 species